AGUUUUCACUAAUACAGUUGGCAUGUCAUGUAUCUGUCACUGGGUUAGUGAUUACUGC
rnacentral:pre_miRNA from 1 species